rnacentral:misc_RNA from 1 species
AGCAGCCGCGGUAAUUCCAGCUCCAAUAGCGUAUAUUAAAGUUGUUGCAGUUAAAAGCUCGUAGUUGAAUUUCGGGAUUGGCGCAUCGGUCGUGCCUCACGGGGUAUGAACUGGUGCAGUCAAUUUCUCACCUUCUGGAGAACCGCGAUGUCCUUAAUUGGAUGCCGCGGGGAACCAGGACCUUUACUUUGAAAAAUUGAGUGUUUAAAGCAGGCAUUUUUGCUUGAAUACAUUAGCAUGGAAUAAUAAAAUAGGACGGCAUGGUUCUAUUUUGUUGGUUUCUAGGACCACCGUAAUGAUUAAUAGGGAUAGUUGGGGGCAUUAGUAUUCAAUUGUCAGAGGUGAAAUUCUUGGAUUUAUUGAAGACUAACUACUGCGAAAGCAUUUGCCAAGGAUGUUUUCAUUAAUCAAGAACGAAAGUUAGGGAUCGAAGACGAUCAGAUACCGUCGUAGUCUUAACCAUAAACUAUGCCGACUAGGAAUCAGACGAUGUUAAUUUUUAAUGUACUUCGUUUGGCUA